CGAAACGUGGCUGAAGAAGGUCAAUACCAUCUACGUUUGCAGUGUUGGCAAAACCAUAACGCUCAGUGAAGUUUUCGUUCAAACGAGGCGUAUCGUC
rnacentral:tRNA from 1 species